rnacentral:rRNA from 1 species
AGUGAACGCUGGCGGUAGGCCUAACACAUGCAAGUCGAACGGCAGCACAGAGGAGCUUGCUCCUUGGGUGGCGAGUGGCGGACGGGUGAGGAAUACAUCGGAAUUUACUCUGUCGUGGGGGAUAACGUAGGGAAACUUACGCUAAUACCGCAUACGACCUACGGGUGAAAGCAGGGGAUCUUCGGACCUUGCGCGAUUGAAUGAGCCGAUGUCGGAUUAGCUAGUUGGCGGGGUAAAGGCCCACCAAGGCGACGAUCCGUAGCUGGUCGGGGAGGAUGAUCAGCCACACUGGAACUGAGACACGGUCCAGACUCCUACGGGAGGCAGCAGUGGGGAAUAUUGGACAAUGGGCGCAAGCCUGAUCCAGCCAUACCGCGUGGGUGAAGAAGGCCUUCGGGUUGUAAAGCCCUUUUGUUGGGAAAGAAAUCCAUCUGGUUAAUACCCGGGUGGGAUGACGGUACCCAAAGAAUAAGCACCGGCUAACUUCGUGCCAGCCGCCGCAGUAA